UACGGGGGGGGCAAGCGUUGUUCGGAAUUACUGGGCGUAAAGGGCUCGUAGGCGGCCAACUAAGUCAGACGUGAAAUCCCUCGGCUUAACCGGGGAACUGCGUCUGAUACUGGAUGGCUUGAGUUUGGGAGAGGGAUGCGGAAUUCCAGGUGUAGCGGUGAAAUGCGUAGAUAUCUGGAGGAACACCGGUGGCGAAGGCGGCAUCCUGGACCGAGAUCGACGCUGAGGCGCGAAAGCUAGGGGAGCAAACGGG
rnacentral:rRNA from 1 species